UACAGAGGUCUCAAGCGUUGUUCGGAUUCAUUGGGCGUAAAGGGUGCGUAGGUGGCGCUGUAAGUCGGGUGUGAAAUUUCGGAGCUUAACUCCGAAACUGCAUUCGAUACUGCGGUGCUUGAGGACUGGAGAGGAGACUGGAAUUCAUGGUGUAGCAGUGAAAUGCGUAGAGAUCAUGAGGAAGACCAGUGGCGAAGGCGGGUCUCUGGACAGUUCCUGACACUGAGGCACGAAGGCCAGGGGAGCGAACAGG
rnacentral:rRNA from 1 species